rnacentral:rRNA from 1 species
AUAAGACUGGGAUAACUCCGGGAAACCGGGGCUAAUACCGGAUAACAUUUUGAACCGCAUGGUUCGAAAUUGAAAGGCGGCUUCGGCUGUCACUUAUGGAUGGACCCGCGUCGCAUUAGCUAGUUGGUGAGGUAACGGCUCACCAAGGCAACGAUGCGUAGCCGACCUGAGAGGGUGAUCGGCCACACUGGGACUGAGACACGGCCCAGACUCCUACGGGAGGCAGCAGUAGGGAAUCUUCCGCAAUGGACGAAAGUCUGACGGAGCAACGCCGCGUGAGUGAUGAAGGCUUUCGGGUCGUAAAACUCUGUUGUUAGGGAAGAACAAGUGCUAGUUGAAUAAGCUGGCACCUUGACGGUACCUAACCAGAAAGCCACGGCUAACUACGUGCCAGCAGCCGCGGUAAUACGUAGGUGGCAAGCGUUAUCCGGAAUUAUUGGGCGUAAAGCGCGCGCAGGUGGUUUCUUAAGUCUGAUGUGAAAGCCCACGGCUCAACCGUGGAGGGUCAUUGGAAACUGGGAGACUUGAGUGCAGAAGAGGAAAGUGGAAUUCCAUGUGUAGCGGUGAAAUGCGUAGAGAUAUGGAGGAACACCAGUGGCGAAGGCGACUUUCUGGUCUGUAACUGAC